CCGCUCCGUCGCCAUGGCGGAGAUCAGCGAGUCGCUUCUGUCGGUGUCGCCGGCCUCGGCGCCCACAAGGACGGGAGUGAUUCCCCUUCGCGCCUCGGUGGGUCUGUUUCGGUGACGUCUCUGGUGGCUGACGAAACAUUCUUUGACAGGGAGCGAGCGAGGACCAAUGACUACAACUCCCAGAAGUCCCCAGUGAUGACGUUGUGGUGAUUUGGGCUUUCCCACCACAGAUGUAAGGCUCAAUGGUCUAUAAUUAUCCAGACUAUCCCUACUACCAUUUAUGAACAAGGGGACAACAUUCGCCUCCCUCCAAUCCUCCAGUAACAUUCCCGUGGACAAUGAGGACAUAAUGAUCCUAGCCAGAGGCUCAGCAAUCUAUUUCCUCGCCUCGGAUGCAGAACCGGGAAGUGGCAGAUGGAGUUCAACACAGAUGAAGAGAUUCAUUUCUGCAGGUCAAAUUUGAAACCAGAAUAUAAUAUUAAUGGUUAGGCCGUACUUGGAGUUUUGUCAAUGUUUUUGGUCCCAUACCUCAGAAAGGAAGCAGGAUCUCAUCGAAACCUACCGAGUGUUGAAGGGACGAGACAGGGUGCAUGUGUUUCAUAUGAUGGGGCAUCCAGAGUAGACGGCACAGCCUCAACAUUGAGGGGAGAUGUUUUUGAACAGAGGGACAUUACUCCUGACAUUGGUCCCAAGACCCAGCCUGUUUACAGAACCGGAGCGGAACUGGAGCAGAUUCUUAGACACUUGUUUUCAUCGCAAAUCCAGAAGACAGUUUAACGUUUUUUCGUGAAUUUAUUCCCAGUGAAGGUGUGGAGAUGGGACUUGGUCUCCGCGUUGUAAAAUGAAUCUGUCCCGGACUCGUAACUGAGAUAAACUCCCACCCUCCCGGGGUUGGGACAGGCAGCGAGUCGGGGUUCAGGGGAGGUGGCAACACUGAACAAAUCAUAAUUCAAGUCCGAUAACCCCUGUCCGAUGACCCAGAUCAGCCAGAUAGUGGCGUCUGUGUCCACAGGACACUCGAAGCUGCUGCGUCGGUUGAGAGUGUUGUUAAGAAGCCGUAUGGCGUACUGGGCUUCAUCAACUGUGGGAUUGAUUUCAAGAGCUGUGAGGUAAUGUUACAGAGGAACAACGCCUUAGUUAGACCACACCUGGAGUUCUGUGUCCAAUUCUGGUUACCUCACUACGGGAAGGAUGUGGAUACUAUACAGCGAGUGCAGAGGAGAUUUACAAGGGUGUUGCCUGGAUUGAAGAGCAUGCCUUAUGAAAACAGGCAGAGUGAACUUGGCCUUUACUCCUUGGAGCGCCGGAGGGUGAGGGAUGACCUGAUACACGUGUAUAAAAUGAUAAGAGGCACUGAUCGUGUGGAUUGCCAGAGGCUAUUUCCCAGGGAUGAAAUGGCUAACACGUGGGGGCACAGUUUUAAGGUGCUUGGAAGUAGGUACAGAGGGGGUGUCAGAGGUAAGUGUUUCACACAGAAAGUGGUGGUGCAUGGAAUGCAUUGCGAAGGUGGCAGAGGUGGAUAGAACAGGGUCUUUUAAGAGACUCUGAGUUAGGUACAUGGAGCUUAGAAAAAUAGAGGGCUAUGCGGUAGGGAGGUUCUUGACAUUUUCUAGAGUAUGUGACAUGGUCAGCACAUCAUUGUGGGCCGAAAGGCCUGUAAUGUGGUGUAGAAACUUUGUUCACUGCCAACGGCGAGAUGCCGAACAGUGUUGCGGAGAGACAGCUCUUGGGAUGCAAGUUCACAGCUCGUUGGAUGUGGCGAAACAGGUCGAUUAGGUGGUGAAGGAGGCUUAUAGAAUACCGGCUUUUAUUCGUGAAGCGCUGAGUUCAAAAUCCAGGAGGUUAUUUUGUAAUUUAUAACACUCUAGUCAGACCAUGUCCGGAGUAUUUAUCUGAGGCUUCUGUGGUGCAUAUCUGGACAGUUCGGACGCAACAUCCAUGGUCGACCCUCUCCGACGGAGGCCUCACAAACUCACACUGAGAAAUCUUCAAAUGACCAAUGUCCCAGCACCCGACCCUGCGGUACACCACUUGCUCCAAACUUCCCUCAGAACAGAGAUGAGGAGGAAGUUAUUCGGAGUGGGGUGGUGAAUGUGAGGCAUUAAUUGCCCUUAUUCCUGCUGUCGGUGGUUGCCGGCCUCUGCGUCCACAACGACAGGCGUGGUUCUCCUCCGACGUCACGGCGAAUCUGUUCCAACAGAUGUUUGUGACGGCUGAGGAAUAGUGUUGAAGCAGGGAGCGAGUGAGAAGCUGAGACAUUUGGACUACAACUACCAGAUGCCCCCGCGGCCCCGUAUGUUCGGCAGCUGAAGCUGACUGAGCGCGGUGCCCGAUGGGAACUGUAGUUCCUAUGAAAAGCGAGCGUUUGUGACUUAUUCUAUCA